AACGAACGCUGGCGGCAUGCCUAACACAUGCAAGUCGAACGGGAUCCUAGCUUGCUAGGUGAGAGUGGCGGACGGGUGAGUAACACGUGGGAAUCUGCCUUUUGGUUCGGGAUAACCGCGGGAAACUGCGGCUAAUACCGAAUGCCCUCGAGAGAGGAAAGAUUUAUCGCCAGAAGAGGAGCCCGCGUCCGAUUAGGUAGUUGGUGGGGUAAAGCUACCAAGCCGACGAUCGGUAGCUGGUCUGAGAGGAUGAUCAGCCACACUGGGACUGAGAUACGGCCCAGACUCCUACGGGAGGCAGCAGUGGGAAUA
rnacentral:rRNA from 1 species